AUUGAACGCUGGCGGUAGGCUUAACACAUGCAAGUCGAGCGGAGAGAGGUAGCUUGCUACUGAUCUUAGCGGCGGACGGGUGAGUAAUGCUUUGGAAUCUGCCUAUUAGUGGGGGACAACAUUUCGAAAGGAAUGCUAAUACCGCAUACGUCCUACGGGAGAAAGCAGGGGAUCUUCGGACCUUGCGCUAAUAGAUGAGCCUAAGUCGGAUUAGCUAGUUGGUGGGGUAAAGGCCUACCAAGGCGACGAUCUGUAGCGGGUCUGAGAGGAUGAUCCGCCACACUGGGACUGAGACACGGCCCAGACUCCUACGGGAGGCAGCAGUGGGGAAUAUUGGACAAUGGGCGGAAGCCUGAUCCAGCCAUGCCGCGUGUGUGAAGAAGGCCUUAUGGUUGUAAAGCACUUUAAGCGAGGAGGAGGCUACUUUAGUUAAUACCUAGAGAUAGUGGACGUUACUCGCAGAAUAAGCACCGGCUAACUCUGUGCCAGCCGCCGCAGUAAUAC
rnacentral:rRNA from 1 species